GCAAUAUUUAGAAUUGGAAAAGGCGAGCGGCCUCAUAUUCUUUCGAGAGACGCAAAAGAUUUUAUCAUGCAGUGCCUUCAAGUUAAUCCUGAUGAUUGUCCUACUGCUGCUCAACUAUUAAACCAUCCAUUUCUCCAAAAGGCCACUUUCCCGGUCUUCAUCUCCUAUUACAUUCAUGGCAGAUAGGGUUAAAAUUUGUCAUCUUCAACUAUGAAACAUAAUGAAGGGUUUGCUUGUUUGUAACUCAAGUAGAUUUUUAAGCACUGCUUCGGAUCAAGUGAUGCGGAACUGCAGAGAGCCAAGUUAUCAACUUAGCAACGUGUCUUGAUGCUCUAAUCUAUGCUGAAAAAGAUUAUCCCUGCCAUCCUCUCAAACGACCAAACCGAUGAAAAUAAUGUAUAGGGCUUAGCUUUAGGAACAACAGUGGCAAGAAUCAGAUAACCAUUCAUUCUUAUUGUACAUAUUAAUUUAUUUAAUUUUUACAGAGCAACAAAAUGCACUUCUACAAACCUCAAAAGUGGAAAUUGAGUUAUCAAUGUUGUUUGGUUUGACUUUUCAAAAUUGCUUCUAUCCUCCAAAAGCAAUUCUCCUUAAAGCUACAAUUCCUAGCUUUUGGCUUUCCUA